AGGUUACCACUUAGCAGAAGUCCAUUUUGGGGAGGUCCCAGCACAAGGGCGCAACACAAUAUAUCUAAUCCUUUCCGUUCUUGGUGUUGCCGUGGUCAUAUAGCCUACAACUGGGCAAUAACAUCUGCAAGUCCGUUUAGAGAAUGGAUAUUUUGAGUGCCGUCGGCGAUGCGUGCGCACGGGGUUCGCUCAGACUGGAAAACAUCGCAUUUAUCCUUUUUUUUUUUAAACCUUAGGGGAAUCCCGAGUGCUACACUGUUGCGUUUUUCUUAUUUUGGAGAAAACAACAUUUCAAGUUAUUUUGAAAGAAAAUGGUGCAAUUACGUCCCCAAGGAUAUUCUUUCUAAAUUUGGUGAUUGUGCAAUACCAGCGCCACUGAUCAAAAAGAGGGGCGGUGGUGGUGUGAUGAGCAGCAGCGAACUUCAACUUCGCACGCAUCUCCAAUCUCGCCCAUAUACUCAUCAAGCGAGGGUUUUGCGCGAAGUCAUCUUGCUGUCCAAGGGAUGCGGACGAGACAUCACGGAUCCUACCGCUUUGCGCAUUUAUGCUGAACAUGUUUGCGACAUCGGAGAAUAUCAGCAAGUCGGUGCAGGUUUGAAGCUCUGCAACUCCAGCAAGGUAAUUAAGCAUUGCAUUCUGUCAAAAUAUUCCAUUACAAAAGUCUUGAAGAAGUGUCUCCGGUGACUAUCUAGAUGGGAGGGGAGGUGAGUUGGUCCGUUUAUUGUCCAGUUCUUUCUGUUUCUUUCUUGAGUGAUGAUGCUCCUCCUCCAGCUCUGUCAUUGGAGAAAUCCUUUCAAAUAACAAAGCUUCAUUGAGUGAUGAUGACAAACAUUUCCAGAAAGAGAGGGGUGAGAGAACUACCUGUAUGACAUGCAAUAUGGACUCUCUAUGCGCCCCCUCUAGUGUGAGUCAUCAGGCCUAAAGACGCCGAGCUGUGAGUGGUGAAUCAGGUGUUGAUAAUGGCCAACAGUGGAGGGCUAGUCAGCCAACAGUUGCUAUUUGGCGUGGAACUUGUGCGCUGAGUCGCCGACAAACCAUGGAAUGAAUCCUUUGGAGACUAAUGGGCGAGCCAACCUUUUCCAGUGUUUGUCAUGGUGAGUUUGUUUGCCUAUAUGCAUACCUCAUAUUCAUAUUCAGUGCUAACUUUAGUGCUUGUGUGUUUCCAUUCUGUGAAUAUAGGUCCUCAAAGCACAACGUGGUCCAGUUUCAGAGAAACUGCCUCAUUCAGCACAAAUAUUAUGGAAGAUCAUUUAGAUACUUCUCCGCCCUCCUUGUCCUCGCCAACCAGGCAUGGGAGAGGUGCUGACAGAUGUCGUUUUUUUUUUCUGGCAAUUUGGAGUCAACGAUGCAUGUUAGCAAACCCCACCGGCUCUCUUAGUUUGCAUUGCAAAACCAGGAGGCCCCCAACGUGCAUUGUGCAAUGUACACAGCACUCUGUUGGGUGACUGGCAUGUGUCUGAUGAUGCUUGAUGCUUUAGAUAUGGUUGUGGCCGUUGAAUGAGGCGUUCACAGUAAAUUAAAUGUUGUCAGGGGUCUGUAUUGGCAAGAAUGCACAAAAUCCCUGUCAUUCAGUAACUAAUAGCUUUUACGCUAAAACGGACUUCGCAGAAUAAGGCAAAGAUGCUCAACAGUUCAAAUCUCUGCACAGCACAUUGGAAAAGACUAAGGGGAGACAACCUUGCUACCUCAAAUGGCCUCCUGCAGUCUUCAAGGACUGGUGAGUGGGUGUGAGGACGUUGGUAAAAUGAAAAAAUGCAGAGUCAGGCGCAGGACACAAUUCUGAGUAAUCAUCCAAAAUUUACUCCAAAAUAACUAAGAUUCCAACAAGGAACAAAUACAAUAAUCCCAAACGCAAACAAUGAGAACCCACAUGACAAACAAUAACGCACAAAACAGAGAGGGAAAUCAGAGGGUUAAAUAAGGAACAUCAUUAAUGGAAUGGAAACCAGGUGUGUAUGAUCAAGACAAAACAAAACGAAAAUUAAACAUAGAUUGGUUGUGUCUAGGAAGCCAGUGACGUCGACCGCCAAACGCCGCCCGAAGAAGGAGAGGGACCAACUUCGGCCGAAGUCGUGACAGUGGGGCUGGUGAACUUAAUGAGAUUUUCAUGGUUUCUGAAGUAUCUUUGGGAUUUCUCAGUCGGUCUCAACAGCACAGCAUGAAGCUACAGCUUGAAGACCCACGGUCUAGUCCUCCUUGUCCAGACUGGCUCAGUUGAUAGGACGGCAUGACCGGAAGUCCAUCUUCCUCAAAACCCCUCUUACAUUACAUUAGAAAGGUCUUCCGCCCCUCUCAAAACUGUCAUUGGAGCUCCUUCAAAAUCACAGAGAAAACAUGAUUGUUCCUCUUUGGUCUUUAUGUUGGCAAACCCCCUUUCGUCUUGAAGGAGAAGCAAAAAUCCAUUUAUAGUCCGUUUCAGGGGGAAAAUGUGUGUGUAGCGCAACUGUUCUCCAGGGCCGAACAAAGAGCUGUUUUAUGUUGGCACCAGAUUGAGGUCUGUGGAUCACAAUGUGACAAGGCAGACCUCAGAAGACGCUUGCCCAGCAGCUAGUGAUGUGCCUUCUUAUUCUUGGAGCCACUCUCUCAUUCCAGGACAUGGAAACCCUUGGCCUGGCCAUCCAUACAACUCCAAAACCAACAGUGCUGCCCAUGUGUAAGCAAAGAGGGCAAGUGUUUUUUUCAUGACACCUAAAUGUCUUUUUCUUUUGUGGACAGCAUCUUUCGCUGCCCCUUUUGCUUUUUGUUAUUCCACAAGUCUGUGUCUUGGCCAGUUCCUGUGCACAUAGCUCUGCGGGAUCUGAGGCGUCACACACUGUGGCAAUGUUUUUUUGGUCAUGUGACAUCUAGAGGUGACACUGGCAUCGAUCCUCCGACCGUUUCACACUCCAACACUGCCAGCAGGAACUUUUGACUUCCUUGACUUCCCUUUUAGUUUGUAGUGGAGUAAAGGGGCUUUACAGCACUUCUACAUUGAAACCCUGUUUUGGAACGCUUUCUUUAGAUCAGUGGUCAUCAACAGGUCGAUCUCCAAGGCAUUCCUAGUCGAUCGCCAAAUAUUUCUGUAAAAAACCCAACAAUAAGCCGUGCGUUCCUAUUUUCUAUUUUACGCUGUUGUUGGUAGGUGCACCUGAUUCAGCUGCCCUGCGCUCCAGCGAUGUGUUCCCAUUUUCAACCAUUUUAUAUGUUUGAAGGUACAAACUCUGCCUUCCCGGGGGGAGCAAAUCAAGUACACUAUAGGCCUACCAAUCGGAGGACUGUCUGCAGAAACAUAGCAGGCAUAAAAGAAAGCUACAGCAAAGGCGGUACAGAGGGUUGUGUGUACGGCCCAGUACAUCACUGGGGCCAAUCUUCCUGCCAGCCAGGACCUCUAUACCAGGAGGUGUCAGAGGAAGGCCACAAAAAUGUGUCAAAGACUCCAGUCAUCCAAGUCAUAGACUGUU